CCCUUCUCAGGGUCACACCUGGAGAGUUUCCAGUACUCUACCAGUCUCCACAGUGGGAGGAAGAGUCAAGCAGAGGCAUAUCCAUUCCAUUCCUAGCUUGGGCAGUGGCUAGUGUGUGGAAGGCAAUCUACUACAAGU